rnacentral:lncRNA from 1 species
UCUCGGCAAGGUCUUAAUUUGAUUCAUUAAAGUAGCUGAUUUGUGCAUUCAUUAGUGUCUUUGCAUCCUUGAUGAGACGUUCUGAUGGCUUUGCAACUUGUUUUGUAGUCUCUCCCUACUCUUUACAAAGUCUCCUACAUAACUGCUAACAAUCUGACUACGUUAUGAAGAAUAUACAACACUUUGAACCAUGCACCUUAUAAUAGCCAAUGGAUAAUGGCUUAUAGAUACAAAUAUCAGCGAUUUGAAGCAAAAAAAGAACAGGUCUUAUACUUCCACAUUACUGUGAGUUGCUCAAAAUGAGAGAACUGAGAGAAAUUAAGUUGCUCCAGUUGUGAAAUUUGGAGGAAAACGUUAUUAACCACUUCAAACAUCCA